rnacentral:lncRNA from 1 species
CAAGCAGCAACUUAAAGGAGAAAGGGCUUAUUCUGGCUCACAGUUCAAGGGGAUGAAGUCCAUCAUGGCACAGCAGGGAUGACAGUAGGAGUGGAAGAUGCUAAUUCCAGAAAGAUCCCCACAACAUUCGCACUGCUUCCAGUUCAUGAUUGUGUGCUCUCAGCUUCCUGCUCCUGCCACCAGGCUUGCCUGCUGCCUGCCAUGCUUCCCCACCGCAACGGACUCUUAUCCUUUGGGAACUGAAAGAGACCUUGCUGUCUGUGGUAUCCAGACAGCAGCCAACCUGUGCCUGCCUGGCCCAGCAUUGAGGGUCUCACCCCAGCCUCAACAGAACAAGGAAGGGCAAGGGAGGAGCUGUUCGCCAGAGGAGUUAGCAAUGAGACCAGCAAUUCUGCUCUCCCCUGAGAAGAUUCAGAGAGCCAUGUGUGACCUGGUGAAGUGUUUUAUUUUCACCAAAUUAACAAACAAACAAACAGACAGACAGAAAAACCAAAACAGUGGUAUUUGAAACUAGGCAUUAUUACCAAUUACCAGUGGAAGGACCUGGGUUAUGAAUGGCUUUGACCACUGUCAGUUUGUGGUGGUUUGAAUAGGUAUGACUCCUAUAGACUCAGGUGUCUGAAUGUUUGGC